rnacentral:tRNA from 1 species
CCUGGUGGCUCAGACGGUAAAGCAUCUGCCUACAAUGCAGGAGACCUGGGUUCAAUCCCUAGGUCAGGA